CGACAGCAAUAUGAAGGUCAGGCUGAAGACUUACCCGAUUAGCUGAGAGGUGGUGCAUGGCCGUCGUCAGUUCGUACUGUGAAGCAUCCUGUUAAGUCAGGCAACGAGCGAGACCCACGUCCACAGUUGCCAGCAUACCCUCCGGGGUGAUGGGUACACUGUGGAGACCGCCGCUGCUAAAGCGGAGGAAGGAGUGGGCAACGGUAGGUCAGUAUGCCCCGAAUCUCCCGGGCUACACGCGGGCUACAAUGGUUGGUACAAUGGGCAUCUACCCCGAAAGGGGAAGGAAAUCUCUUAAAGCCAAUCGUAGUUCGGAUUGAGGGCUGCAACUCGCCCUCAUGAAGCUGGAAUCCGUAGUAAUCGCGUUUCAACAGAACGCGGUGAAUACGUCCCUGCUCCUU
rnacentral:rRNA from 1 species